rnacentral:lncRNA from 1 species
UGAUAGUUCAUGCUCUUUUUUAUUGUUGAAUAAUAUUCCAUGGUAUGGAAGGCCCACAGCUUGUUUGUCUAUUUCCCCACAGAAAAACAUCUUGGUGGUUUACAGUUUUUGGGCAAUUAUGGAAGUGACUGAUUUUCAGUUUGUCCAGCUUUUUCUUCUAAGAAUGAGAGUGAUGACUUCCCAGCUAUUUCCAGAAACCGGAAGUGAGAACUUUUACUUUUUACUCUUCACAAUUCUGCAUAAUAUUUUUCUACAUCUUCUCCUGAGGUCCAUCAGACCGUGUUAAUGAUAUUGUAAGACCCGGGAUUCAUGUUGAUUGACAUUAUGGAGACUCGUAUUCAUGUAUUAGAGCUGGCUGCAUUACAUCAGACUGAAAAUGGAUCCUGUCAUGUGAUGGAGAAAGAAUGCUGCCAGACAAUUCAGUGGCUAAUGAAUGUAAUCAUCCCCAGCUUGUCAAACCAGCCGCUGAGCUCUAGCCAAUGGCACAGAACAGGCAUUGGCAUAAGGCUGAACAUCUGACGAUGGAAUAAGAGUCUUCUCUAAAGGUCCGAUCAUUUUGGUGUGGCCUCACGAGGUGGUCUGCAAAGUGCUUCCUCCCUUGCAGGGUAUGUUUCUCUAAGGUUGACAUACUAUUUUGUUCCCUACUCUAGCAAUAAUUUAUUUUUAGUUGCUUUUAUUUUUAUC